rnacentral:sRNA from 1 species
AGUUAGGAUGCAGUCAUUGUACGUUUUGUAAAAAAAAACAUAGUCAUAACCCUGAACAUUGGUUUUCUUUUUUUUUACAAAACGUACAAUGACUGCAUUCUAACUUAA